rnacentral:tRNA from 10 species
CCUACUUUGAAGCUAGCUUGAUAUAAUGCUAAUGUGACCUUGAACGAUUUCUUUCUUCCUGAGUUUGCCUACUAGUAUAGCUUAAAGAUCCAAGUUACACUAUUACUCACUUAUAUCAUAGCCAGCAUUGCUUGAUCAGAUUAUCAGAUAGAUACAGUAUCACGGAGACAAAAUCCUUUCAUUAUGAUGUAAGAUAAAAAAUAUCUUUCAUUAACAACACACGUAAAGGAAGUACCCACUGGACCAACUCAGGUUAGAAGGGUACCAGACCAGAAGAUCAGAUCGUAGAAGUUACUGGAGAAAAAGAUCAGCGGACAGCACUCUUGAACUACAUGCCAGGCCUCUUCUUCCUGGAACUCUAAUGGAUUUAAAUGGCUUAAGAGACGGGAUGAAUUGUUGAAAAUGGUUCUUUCAAAAGACCUCACGGAAGGCCAAAGACAAGACUCACUGAGGCCAAGCUGAUCAACAAUAUCUAUAAGUUGACGCAUUCUAAUCAUGUGGCGAUCUUGACCUUGGGAGCUUGAUUUGUGGACCAGUGUCCCCAAGAAGAUGACCAUCAGACAGAUGACAAUCCUCUCCAUGUUGCCAGGACUGGAUCUCAUAAGUACCAACAGUAGAGCUAGACCUUGGUCUCGUUUUCACUUCAGCUUGACUGAGAACAGGUUGUCAGUUAAGCUACCUAUUUAUUCAUCCUUCAGGGAGAGGUAAAGCCCUCCCAUUGCAGCCUGGAAAUCUUUGUAAAAUGGAUGAAUUGUCACCGAUGAAGUUUUUGAAUGCUGUGCUCCUAAUCUCAUUUUCCUGUAAGCAUCCUCCAGAGACUUCGGUGAAGGAUGAUGCAAACUGUGUUUCUUCAGCAUGUGAGCACCAUCAGCCAUGAGUGUGGCAGCUCCAGAAUGUCUAUACCAGAGUGGCUGAGAGUCAGCAACUUGGCUGGAAGCUACACUUGAAUAGCAAACAAACCACUUUUACUUAGUUUCCAUGUCUAUUUGGUACCUUGGAGUACAGUGAUGAGUUUUACUAGAUGUGGACUUUCCAGGAAUAUAGCCAAGGUCGUCACCAUGAAAGUAUGAAACUUUAGUCAUUUACCCAAGGGGAUUCAUGGACAUAUAUUAAGAAUUUUCUUUAAUGGACUGUGUUUAUAGAACACCUGGUCAGGACGGAAAUGAGGCCAGGGAACUAAAGGGGUAGAAGUCUGAAGAGGAAUGGUUUUGCAUGGGAAAACUGUGCCAGGUCUAAAACUGGGCUGAACACUAUUUGUCCCCAACUCUCUGGCCCGGUCCUCAUAGUUCUUUCUGUGAUCCCUGCGUGGUGAAUACUCCUUUUCUGCUUUCACUGGCUUUGGCCCCUCAUGGAUAGAAUUAGAUGUUCUGCAUGGCAAACUGUGGGAAGAGAGGCCUCCAGUGUUUAGAGUGAUAUUAUCAUGUGUACCACUACUAUUAUACAUACUAAAGGUAUUCAGACAGGUGGCUUGUCUCUGGGCUUUAUAUAGAUCUCUGUCAAGCUAGAAGAAAAAUGUCACUAAAAUAAUUCAAGACAAUUUUUGUACUUUCCAACGAUGUUCAGGUAACAGCUGAAAAUAUUCUCACUUAUUUGACUUGAGGAAGAAAAUUCGAACGAGGAAAAUCAUCAAGGAUUUGCUAAAGUCCCUUCUGUAAAAUCUUCCUUAAGGAAGUUUAAACACUCCUAUUCUCUCUUCUCUCAUUCUUUUGAACUCACUGCAUGUAUUGAUAUCACUGACUUGGUUUGUUUUCUAGAAUAUAUGUAAAAGUAAGAGUGUGUAUAUAUAACCCAUUAUGUACAUAACAAGAACAGUUCCUUCCAAUAUUCAAAUUUCAUGACUCUAGAUCACUACUGUGCAUUCUAAGAAGGUCAGGGACUCAUGGAGACCAAAGGGUCAAUCCUGGUCAUUGUUGUCUUACGAGAGAAAAACAAGAGCCUUCUCGGGCCCCGUGUUCUCUAGCUCUUGAUGUGGCCUCUUCGGUAUCACUGGCAGCCCCACAGUCUGGUGGUCAGUGUGUCGCAGCAGAGGGUCAUUCACCGAUGCUGCUUAUCCACAGCACCUUUUCUGUGGGGAAUGGGGGCCUCUAUUCUGCUAGUAGACUCAGGUGUGUCACUCUGUGAUACUCUUAAGACUGGGUUCAUUGAGGACAGGUCUCUUUGCUAACAUUCACACAAAGUCAUUGUUUGGAAGCACAGUCCUGCUUCUGAAAUGCUAGGUCUGGAGGAGUUCCAGCAGCAGCCACAUGGGCCCUCUCCUCAGAUCUUGGCUCCAACAUGGGAUACUCAGCAGUGAGGCUAGAGAUCAGAUGUCCUUCAUUCCUUGACCACUAAGCCUAGAGGAUGGAGAGAAAGAAGUGGAACAUCUGCACUCUUCAACCUGAGUCCACUCCAACUCCAUCCCACAAGGUGAGGCAAGUUCCACCAGCCUCUCCAGCCUCCUGUCUAAUAUGAUCAGAGAAAUCCUCUUCUCUCUGGACUCAAGACCCAUCCCUGUUUCCUUCCCUAAGGCGACAGGUGGCUAUAGCACCCUUUGUCUUGGCCCUGCAGCCACCAAUACACAACCAUAAAAAUAAAGUAGUCCAAUUAUUAGCCUUCGCUGUGUCCUGUGUCCUCCUCCCAAGAGAUCUGCGGAACCUUCAUUUAUCACCUGAAUGGGAGCCUCCUCCCCAUGCUUUCCCAGGGGGCAGCCAUAGGACCUCACAGAGAUGUUACUGUGUAUCACUCUAGACUCUUUUCCUAUAUACAUAGAACAAUAAAGGAAUAGAUAGGGACACAUAGACACUUAAGGAAAUAGAAUUAUGUAUGGAGAUAGAAACAUAAAAAUAAAUAGCACAGACAUAUAGAUAUAGAAAACUGGUACUUUUACAUAAAAACUUAAUCUCACCAUAUGUAGUCUAUAAAUUUUUUUUUCACUCAACCUAUGUCAGGGACAGGAGUCCAUACAGGAUUCACACACAGGGAUAUCUCAUUAGAUUAAUAUUCCAUUGUAUGGCAGUACCACAAUUUAUCCAUUCAUAACCCUACUGAUAAACAUUUAGAUUGUUUCCAGUUUUUAUCCACUGCAAACAAUGCUGCAAUGAACAUCCUUAGACAUAGAGAUCUCUAAGCAUAUGUGAAAUAUAUUCUUUUAAUGUUGUAUUUUAAAAUACAUGUCUUGAAUUUCACUUCCUGAGUGGAAAGAUACUUUGAAAAACUUUGUAGAAACUGCCAAAUUUCCCUCUGACAUGCCAUACCAGUUUAUACUCCCAACAACAUAGAGUUUCUUUUCCUCUCAUUAAUACUUUAUGUUAUGAAUAUUUUAAAUAUCUACCAACAUAUUGGGGCAAAAAUAGUAUCCUCUCAUUGGUUUGUCUUUCCUUGAUCAAUAGUUAGAUCUGCUAUAUUUUCAUCAGUGUGUUUAUUUUUCCACAAAUUGUCUGAUUCAUAUUAUUUGCCAAUUUAUUCAUUUGUUUCUUAUUUACUUAUAAAGGCUCUUUUUCUAUUAAAGAUAUGUUAAACAUGUAGAAAUUAUUUUCUCUGUGGUAUCCUUUGCCCUACUGAGGUUUUGAGCUUUCAUGUUAUUGUGUCUGAGAAUCUUAUGUUUUAUGUCAUGGACCUUCGUUUAAUAGAAAGGGUGUCUCACCUAACAAAACCAAAAAUGGCAGUAAUUAAUUUAGUGUUCUUUUUGGUUGAAGAAUUCUAAUGCCAAGGAGUCAUGUUUAAUUCAGGAGCGCUUUUAAAUGAAUUUGCAUUUCAUUUGUCACAAGAUUAGCUACAUACUUCUUUGAAAUAUAAUAAUACAUUUAUGGUUGGAAGUGAUUUAGUCAGUUUAUAGGCAACAUCCUUCCUGUGCAGCAAUGAAUUCAUGAGCCCUGUGAACAUCAUUAUUUUAGAAAAAGAAUUGGAUAUAAUAUAUACUUCUUAUAUAUAGAGAGAUCCAAUCAUAUACCACAUUCAGGAGUGGGGAGGACAAGGGACCACAGAAUCCUGAAACGGCAUCUGAGCCAUCAAAAGAAUGUGCUCACUACAGUUUCAGUGCUGAAUGUUUUAUUUUACUUCAAUUCUUUAAAUAUGGUUUCUCCAUAUACAGGGUGUACGGUAGUUCUAAAAACGCGAAUGACUAAUUAACAAAGUGCAGACCAGGAAAACACAGACUCUGUGAGAUUUACCAAAUUGGCUCCAAGACUACCCUGAAGUCACCCUUUAAACUGAGAAAUAGUUAUAUCUGAUAGACUCUGUUGCUGCAAAUAAAGGGAAAUGGGAUGGCUCUUUCUGAAAAAAGACUUUGGGCCAAUCAAAAAGAUACUAUCAAUGAUUAUUCUAGCAAACACUUUUGUAUCUAAGUGGUUUAUAGACAUAAUCUCAUUUAAAGCAACAACCAUGAGAAAUAGGUAUUUUGAGUGUGCCUCUUUACUACCGAAGCACAAAGAAGAUAAGUAAGACAUUGAAGUGAUUGGAGGAACUCUCUCCAGAGCCUGACGACUUCUCUCUACAGCAGGGAACUGCCUCCAUUGCUGAUGUUGGAUUAAACAGAACAGCCUGUGCAGUUAGUUCAUGGAUUCCAUAAAGGGACUGGACCUUAAUGAAGACGUUCCUGACAUGGGUUUGGGGUAAGAAGGAGAGUCUGUUUGCAAAAUUAUUAUUGAUAAUAACUAGAAUUUAAAUGUAUAUCUUUUCUUGGUUAAUUAAAU